rnacentral:lncRNA from 1 species
AUUUACUAAUCAAGAUCCAUAAUUCCAUAUUAUAUAAACUCUAUUUAUCUACACUUGGUUCGAUUAAUAAGAAGGAAGGUUAUACUUAAUAUUCUGUUAAAAUUCAUCAUAGGUUUCAUGUAAAAAUCCUUCACUAAAUUUAUUUUAAAUACCAUUGAAUUCACUAGUAUGUAUACCAAAAAAAAAAAAAAUCAUGCUUUAAAAAAAAUUGAAACACACAAAAAGAUUCGUAAAUUAUGCUAACUUUGUAUCAAACAUUUUUUAGAAUUUUAUGUACUAGCUAGUUGUGAUAUUUUGUUUUAAUUGACCCUACUAAAAC